rnacentral:rRNA from 1 species
GACGAACGCUGGCGGCGUGCUUAACACAUGCAAGUCGAACGGAAAGGCCCUGCUGUUGUGGGGUGCUCGAGUGGCGAACGGGUGAGUAACACGAGAGUAACCUGCCCUUGACUUUGGGAUAACUUCAGGAAACUGGGGCUAAUACCGGAUAGGAGCUCCUGCAGCAAGGUGGGGGUUGGAAAGUUUCGGCGGUUGGGGAUGGACUCGCGGCUUAUCAGCUUGUUGGUGGGGUAGUGGCUUACCAAGGCUUUGACGGGUAGCCGGCCUGAGAGGGUGACCGGCCACCUUGGGACUGGGAUACGGCCCCUACUCCUACGGGAGGCAGCAGUGGGGAAUAUUGCACCAUGGGCGGAAGCCUGAUGCAGCAACGCCGCGUGCGGGAUGACGGCCUUCGGGUUGUAAACCGCUUUCGCCUGUGACGAAGCGUGAGUGACGGUACUGAGUAAAGAAGCACCGGCUAACUACGUG